rnacentral:rRNA from 1 species
UGCGAAAGCAUUUGCCAAGAAUGUUUCCAUUAAUCAAGAACGAAAGUUAGAGGCUCGAAGGCGAUCAGAUACCGCCCUAGUUCUAACCAUAAACGAUGCCAACCAGCGAUCCGCCUGGGUUCCUCAAAUGACUCGGCGGGCAGCUUCCGGGAAACCAAAGUUUUUGGGUUCCGGGGGGAGUAUGGUUGCAAAGCUGAAACUUAAAGGAAUUGACGGAGGGGCACCACCAGGAGUGGAUUUUGCGGUUUAAUUUGACUCAACACGGGAAAACUUACCCGGCCCGGACGCUCGAAGGAUUGACAGAUUAAGAGCUCUUUCUUGAUUGAGCGGGUGGUGGUGCAUGGCCGUUCUUAGUUGGUGGAGCGAUUUGUCUGGUUAAUUCCGAUAACGAACGAGACUCUAGCCUACUAAAUAGGCGUUCCGAUCCCUUCGAGUCGGACGCUCUUCUUAGAGGGACAAGCGGCGACUAGCCGCGCGAGACAGAGCGAUAACAGGUCUGAGAUGCCCUUAGAUGCACGGGGCCACACGCGUGCUACACUGAAGGAAUCAGCGUGUGCUUUCCCUGUCCGGCAGGACUGGGUAACCCGUUGAACCUCCUUCGUGAUAGGGAUAGGGGCUUGUAAUUGUUCCCCUUGAACGAGGAAUUCCCAGUAAGCGCGAGUCAUAAGCUCGUGUUGAUUAGGUCCCUGCCCCUUGUGCACACCGCCCGUCGCUACUAGCGAUUGAACGAUGGGGUGAGGUCUUCGGACCGGCGCACGGAGCGGUCUAACCGCCGCGCCGUCGUGCCAGAAAGAUGACCGAACUUGAUCGUUUAGAGCAAGUAAAAGUCG